rnacentral:rRNA from 1 species
UACGUAGGGUGCAAGCGUUGUCCGGAAUUAUUGGGCGUAAAGAGCUCGUAGGCGGUCUGUCACGUCGGCUGUGAAAACCCGAGGCUCAACCUCGGACCUGCAGUCGAUACGGGCAAACUAGAGUACUGCAGGGGAGACUGGAAUUCCUGGUGUAGCGGUGAAAUGCGCAGAUAUCAGGAGGAACACCGGUGGCGAAGGCGGUUCUCUGGGCCUUACCUGACGCUGAGGAGCGAAAGCGUGGGGAGCAAACAGG